GUGGCAUUCUUUUUUUCUGGGUCAUUUAAAAAGCAACUGAAAUUCAACACAUUUGUACAGGAGCUACAGCAUGUAACACUUACUUUAGUACCAGUGCCAGAUGUUAACACUGAGCAACCUUUGUCAACAGACAGAAAUGAGGCAAGUGGCAGACUGCCUCUUGGUUUUCUUAUUCCUCCUUUCCCUAGAGAUCUUCAGACCAGACUUGACAAAAAGGAAGCAUGUCAGAAGUCCAGCAAAGAUCGACAUACGAUCAUUCGUGUUCUGCAUGAAGCAGUUAUAGAACACACAAUGUAUCCCAACAAUGCGGAAUAUGUGCAAGUAGUUAGAGCACUUAUUGUGAAGUAUCCUUUCCUUAAGGAUCCGGAGGGAAACGGCUAUGUAAG